rnacentral:rRNA from 1 species
GACGAACGCUGGCGGCGUGCCUAAUACAUGCAAGUCGAGCGAAGUUUUUCUGGUGCUUGCACUAGAAAAACUUAGUGGCGAACGGGUGAGUAACACGUAAAGAACCUGCCUCAUAGACUGGGACAACUAUUGGAAACGAUAGCUAAUACCGGAUAACAGUAUUUCUCGCAUGGGAGAUAUUUAAAAGUUGGUUAUGCUAACACUAUGAGAUGGCUUUGCGGUGCAUUAGCUAGUUGGUGGGGUAAAGGCCCACCAAGGCGACGAUGCAUAGCCGACCUGAGAGGGUGAUCGGCCGCACUGGGACUGAGACACGGCCCAGACUCCUACGGGAGGCAGCAGUAGGGAAUCUUCCGCAAUGGGCGAAAGCCUGACGGAGCAACGCCGCGUGAGUGAAGAAGGAUUUCGGUUCGUAAAGCUCUGUUGUUAGGGAAGAAUGGAUAUGUAGUAACUAUACAUGUACGAGAC